rnacentral:rRNA from 1 species
UACGGGGGGGGUAAGCGUUGUUCGGAAUUACUGGGCGUAAAGGGUCCGUAGGUGGCUCGCUAAGUCAGACGUGAAAUCCCUCAGCUUAACUGGGGAACUGCGUCUGAGACUGGCAAGCUCGAGUGCAGGAGAGGAAUGCGGAAUUCCAGGUGUAGCGGUGAAAUGCGUAGAUAUCUGGAGGAACACCGGUGGCGAAGGCGGCAUCCUGGACCGACACUGACGCUGAGGAGCGAAAGCCAGGGGAGCAAACGGG